UGGUUGAGCCACGUAUCGAUGCGCUGU
rnacentral:piRNA from 1 species